ensembl:lncRNA
GUGUGAGCUUGUGUGUGUGUGAGCCUGUGUGUGUGUGUGUGUGAGCCUGUGUGUGUGUGUGUGUGUGUGUGUGUUUGUGUGUGUGUGUGUGUGUGUGUGAGCUUGUGUGUGUGUGUGUGUGUGAGCCUGUGUGUAUGUGAGCGUGUGUGUGUGUGUGUGUGUGUGUGAGCUGUCUCGUGUGUGUGUGAGCUUGUGUGUGUGUGUGUGUGAGCUCGUGUGUGUGUGUGAGCUUGUGUUUGUGUGUGUGUGUGCUUGUGUGUGUGAGCUUGUGUGUGUGUGUGUGUGUGAGAUUGUGUGUGAGCUUGUGUGAGCUUGUGUGAGUUUGUGUUU